ensembl:lncRNA
UUUCUUCUGCUGAGGUUGGGAUGUGCAGGGGAUGAAUGGAGGCACAGCUGCACUAUGGCUCUGAGGUAACUCUUUUACUGCCUUUGGGCAGCCACCACAGCAUGCCUUGAGCUGGUGGUUCAGGUGUAAAUUGUUUGCAGUGUGUUUUUGGGAAAGAAAAAACACAGACAUCUUGUAUAAGGUAUUUACAAAUCUCCAAAGUGCAUGCUAGGGUCUAUACUACUGUCUUGCUUGGCUGACGUAGGUGCACUGGAACCCACCAGACAGGGUGAUAAGCACACAUUUUUACACACACUUCACUAAGAUUUGCUUUUUUAUUGUGCUGCUCAAGAACCAUUUUUGUAGUAAUGGGUCUAGGAGAGCAAAGGCCAAAUCACACACGCUGCAUCAGGUGAAAGCCCCAUAUACCAAGUGCUCAAGGAGGAGCUAGGAGCAGCUGGCACCAGCUUCCCCCCACAGCCUGCUCCUCUUCCUCCCACCACUGUUACCUCUGGAAGCUCUGCAAGCAGCCCAUCACCUCUUACCACCUCGUGGGUAGCAGGACAGCAAAGAGAACUCAUCCUGUGCUGCAUGUGCAAUCCUGGGUGCUCCCAGCUCUCUGAGGAAGAAGUACCAGUACCAAUCCAGCAAGAGCUUCUCACAGCACUUCUCUGUAGUACUGCAAAAAUCCUGGAGCACUUGAAAUUUCCUGAGCGACCUGCAGCAGAAUUCACACUGCCGCUCCCUGUGCUGUUGAAAGCUGGCUCACACCAGGGCUCUUCAGAGCACGAAACCCACAGCAAUGCACGGUGCCAGCUGCAGCCUCCCUCUGCACCCACAAGCAGCUUUUCUGCACAGGGCAAUUACAAAACACACAAGCCACGGUGCAUGUUUGCAGGCCAGGAGGACAGGAGCUGCCUUGUUGGGACAGGGUGCACUGGCAGCAUGCUGCUCCAUCCUCAGACUGUGGUCCCUCUUCCCAACAGCCACCAGCAGCGCAUUGCGAGGGAACCCCAGCAGUGCUGUGAGCUCCCUUUGUUUUACAGAUGGUGGCAGAGCUCCUGGAAAUUAAACUAUUCUUCAU